CCCUAAACCAGUUGUUUCCAAAGAUGGCUGCGAAACCAGUGUUGGCUGCAGCAUCUGUGUGAAUGAUGGGUGAGGAAGUGGAGAGAGGGGGAAUAAACAUAGAGAUACCGUUCCACUCGGCCAAAAACUUCCCCCACAUAGCUAAGUCAGCCUUAGCGUGGGGGUCCAAUGAAACUGGGCAAGAGUCCGGCACCCCGUGAAGCAGGCAAAGAAGCCUGGAUAUAAAAGACCUUCCCUGCGGGAUGAUGCACAUGGCGAAGUUCAGGGAUCCCAAAAGGGACUGGAGUUCCUUCCUGGUGCAAACAUCAUUCCGCAGGAACACGUCUAUCUCCCCUCUCAAGCGGGCCAGUUUGUCAUGGGGAAAGCUAGCUCUGAGGGUAACGGAAUCAAGCUCUAUCCCCA